rnacentral:tRNA from 1 species
GGGUUCGUAGCUCAGAUGGUAGAGCAGUUGACUCUUAAUCAAUUGGUCGGGGGUUCGAAUCCCCCCGGACCCACCA